rnacentral:lncRNA from 1 species
GCCGAAGGCGGCGCGUUGCGAGGCUGCGGCGGCGGCUUAGUUUCCAGAAACCCUAGGGUUUCUCUUUGUGAUUUUGUUUUGGGCUUAGAUGAUUAGGGCUAGGGUUAGGUGUUAGGUCAAUUGGGUUGGGGAUAUUGGGCUAGGCUAGUGUUUAGGUUAAAAACGAUUUGGGCCAUGUUGGGCCUAUGUAUUUGGACCGUGGAUAUUUAAUUAUUUUUUCUUGUUUUUUUUCUGCUUAUUCUGAAUGGGCCCCGGGCAAAUUGGGCUAUUACAUUAAUAAUUAAAGACGAAUGAAU